rnacentral:rRNA from 1 species
GACGAACACUGGCGGCGUGCCUAAUACAUGCAAGUCGAGCGGACAGAAGGGAGCUUGCUCCCGGAAGUUAGCGGCGGACGGGUGAGUAACACGUGGGCAACCUACCCUGUAGAUCGGGAUAACAUCGAGAAAUCGGUGCUAAUACCGGAUAAUCAUUUGAAGUGCAUGCUUCGAAUGUAAAAGAUGGCUCCGGCUAUCACUACGGGAUGGGCCCGCGGCGCAUUAGCUAGUUGGUAAGGUAAUGGCUUACCAAGGCAACGAUGCGUAGCCGACCUGAGAGGGUGAUCGGCCAAACUGGGACUGAGACACGGCCCAGACUCCUACGGGAGGCAGCAGUAGGGAAUCUUCCGCAAUGGACGAAAGUCUGACGGAGCAACGCCGCGUGAGUGAUGAAGGUUUUCGGAUCGUAAAGCUCUGUUGUUAGGGAAGAACAAGUGCCGUUUGAAUAAGGCGGCACCUUGACGGUACCUAACCAGAAAGCCACGGCUAACUACGUGCCAGCCGCCGCCGUAAGAC